AGAGUUUGAUCAUGGCUCAGGACGAACGCUGGCGGCGUGCCUAACACAUGCAAGUCGAACGAAGUAUAUUUUCGGAUAUGCUUAGUGGCGGACUGGUGAGUAACGCGUGAACAAUCUGCCCUGUACACAGGAAUAGCCUCGGGAAACUGGGAUUAAAACCGGAUAACACUUUCUGGCCGCAUGGCUGGGAAGUCAAAUUGAUUUAGAGGUACAGGAUGAGUUCGCGUCUGAUUAGCUAGUUGGUGAGGUAACGGCUCACCAAGGCGACGAUCAGUAGCCGGCCUGAGAGGGUGAACGGCCACACUGGAACUGAGACACGGUCCAGACUCCUACGGGAGGCAGCAGUGGGGAAUAUUGCACAAUGGAGGAAACUCUGAUGCAGCGACGCCGCGUGAGUGAAGAAGGUCUUCGGAUCGUAAAACUCUGUCCUUGGUGACGAAAAAAAUGACGGUAGCCAAGGAGGAAGCCCCGGCUAACUACGUGCCAGCAGCCGCGGUAAUACGUAGGGGGCGAGCGUUGUCCGGAUUUACUGGGCGUAAAGGGUGAGUAGGCGGUAAUAUGUGUCAGAUGUAAAAGGCUAUGGCUUAACCAUAGUUGGCAUUUGAAACUGUAUUACUUGAGUGCAGGAGAGGUAAGUGGAAUUCCUAGUGUAGCGGUGAAAUGCGUAGAUAUUAGGAGGAACACCAGUGGCGAAGGCGACUUACUGGACUGUAACUGACGCUGAGUCACGAAAGCGUGGGUAGCAACCAGGAUUAGAUACCCUGGUAGUCCACGCUGUAAACGAUGAGUGCUAGGUGUUGGGUAGCGAUAUUCAGUGCCGAAGUAAACACAAUAAGCACUCCGCCUGGGGAGUACGGUCGCAAGACUGAAACUCAAAUGAAUUGACGG
rnacentral:rRNA from 1 species